rnacentral:lncRNA from 1 species
GUGAGAAAGCUAGAAAGUCGUGUCCACCAGGUCAGUCUCUUUCUAUCUAUUGUUGAAUUUUAUUUCCAACAUCAUCUAGCUCACAUCUUAUCAAUAAUUUUUAUAUGGCAAGGCAACAAUAUAAGCCAAGCAACAACAUUGUCAUACAAGAAUCAUUUUACAGAUCAAACAUUGUAAGUAUUCACACAUAGAUUAGCUCCCCUACAUACAAUCUCUUUUAACACAGUACAUAUAUAAUAGAUCAAACAUUACCAGGCAUUCAUUCCAUCCAGACAUAGAUUAGCUCCCCUACACACAAUCCUUUUUAACAUACAUUCAAGUAUAUCAUCAACUCAUACAAACAAUUCUUUUUAACAUAUAAUCACGCAUAUCAUUCCUACAACAGAGCAUGUCCCAUAUACUUCCAGUUUUAGAUUAUUGCAAACUAUCACUACAACCCAAUAACAUCACCAAAACACACAGUAUUUCAGAUAUUAUUAUAUUAAACAAGCCAACAGUUAACACAACAAUUCAGAUAUUAACAAGCCAAUAUUGGUUUAGCUCCCCAUACCUAAAUUUUGAUUCCUCUUCACAAGUAACACAUACUACCACCGAACCCCGUCACUCUCUCAGCCCUCUCUUUCACUCUUAGGUUUCUCAACAUGCUUGAUUGGAUGUCUCUAUUCUUCCUUCUUCCGCCCCUUUUUCAGGUUUCAUUUAAAGCCCCAAUUUGGAUCCUCGAAACACUAAAAUCAUGAUCAGCAUCCUCUGAUUCCAUCUUCCCCUUUUUAAUACUCUUAUUUUGUUUCUCUUUGAAUCAUUGAAUGCUUCCUCAGGCUGUUAUGCUCCUCCUGACCUUAGGAUUUACAAAACCAAAAAGAAAAUAGAAGAAAGAGAAGAGAGAAGUAGUAUCGGAAGAGACGUGAAAGUGCAGAGUGGACGGAAGAUGGAAAACAAGUGAUGAAGGCGCCACGAAAUAAAUUAGGGCAGGCUGGGAAAUAUUAAUACUUACCGAUGGUUUGAUAAAAUAACUGCCGGAAAUAUCUUCAAAAAAUUAAAAAAUAAAAUAUAUUUUAGUUGCCUUUUGACUUGAAACCGCCGAAAAAUUUAAAGAAAAAUAAUAAUAAAAAA